GCGUUGGUGGUGCAAUCGGUUAGCAUACGCUCCUAGUAGCAGUGAGAUCUUGGUUCAAAUCCCGGCUGAACGCA